AUGAGGUCGGCUGGUACAGACCCUGGCCAGGGUUUGCUUUUCUGCCUAGCUCAGAACAGUGCUGUCUUCUAGGAGUUUCUGCCCUAUGCCUGUGCUGACCUGGGCCACAUGUGGCUCCGGAGGACUUAGCUAAUGUGACUGGAGGAAUGAAUGUCUUCACUCCUGGUGUAAUUAUAUUUGGGUUUGAAAGCAUCUGCAUGGCUAGCGGCUGCCUUAUUGACCAGCUCUGCUCCAGAGUUUCAGCUUUGGCAAUCUUGUCUCAGGUUGCAAGGCCAAUCACUGCUUUCUUCCUUCACUGCAAGAAACAAAACCACAAAGAAAGCAAGGAUGCCCAGAAUCUGUGCUGAAGAUCCUGUUUUGAUUUAUGGCCCCUUGUUUGAGAAAAUGAAGUUGAUGGAUGACUGAUUAUGAAGAAAAUGUCUGCCCAUUGUUCUCUAGUGGAGAACUCCAGGCUGUUGGGGAACACAGGAUUGAAGAAGAAGAAGAAGAAGAAGAAGAAGAAGAAGAAGAAGAAGAAGAAGAAGAAGAAAGAUACUUUGCAGCCUUCUUUUAGCUGGAUGUGGCCAUUUGGUGAAAUUCUGGUCAAUGGGAUAGAAUUUGAUUUGUACAACAAUUACAUCAUAGUAAUCACGCUAGUUCCCACCUUACCCAUGGCACCACUUUCUGCGGUUUCAGUUACCCUCUGAAUAUUACAAAUGGAAAAUUCCAGAAGUAAAGAAUACGUAAGGCAUAGACUGUUUCUGUCUCCCCUGGCCACUUACACAUCCAGAAGUUUGCUAGAAGGACGCAAAGAUGUUUCCCUGCUGGCUGUUACUCUUACGGAGACCCCCACACCAUCAGUGAACACAGGAGAGAUGAGCCGAUAGAAGAUGGCCGGGCUGAUGUGGAGCUGGAAGAACCAGGCCUCAGCUUGUUUCUUCCUGCAUUGAGAACCUGUCACUCGAACAGGCAGAGGCCAGGUGCUGUGAGUGGUGUGGGAAUGAUACUUACACAGCUUCUUGCAGAUCCAAUAAACCACAAGAUCUUA